rnacentral:tmRNA from 1 species
GGGGCCGAUCGGUAUCGACCGGAUAGCUCCGGUAUAUUGUGGCACGUCGAGGUGUACGCUGGCCUCGUUAAACCGCGUACAAAAACCAUAAAUGCCAAUGACAAUGUCAUCGGUCGCAUCGGCUUUGCUUCGGCACAGCCUCUGCGCAUGGCUGCCUAAAUAUAGGCACCCUCGUUGUUUUAUCACAUGUCUGUGGUGAUGACUCAACGGCGACUUAACAGACUCGUCCCAAGGUGACGCCUUAGCACCUAACGGACUAAACCUUUCUCAGGCUGGACUCCAACAAUGCUGUCGCUGGCAGUGGUGGAUUCGAGAUUAAAUCAGCGAAUAAACGUGUAGAGGCGAUAUAUCAACUACCACGGGACGGGGGUUCAAUUCCCCCCGGCUCCAUUU